UGGGGAAUCUUGCGCAAUGGACGAAAGUCUGACGCAGCCACGCCGCGUGAGUGAAGACGGCCUUAGGGUUGUAAAGCUCUGUCGAGCGGGACGAAAAUUAUUUGUGCUAAUACCACAGGUAACUGACGGUACCGCUAAAGGAAGCACCGGCUAACUCCGUGCCAGCAGCCGCGGUAAUACGGAGGGUGCAAGCGUUGCUCGGAAUUAUUGGGCGUAAAGGGUAGGUAGGUGGUCUCAUUUGUCAGAGGUGAAAGCCUUGAGCUUAACUCAAGAAGUGCCUCUGAAACGGUGAGACUGGAGUCCUGGAGAGGGUCGUGGAAUUCCCGGUGUAGCGGUGAAAUGCGUAGAGAUCGGGAGGAACACCAGAGGCGAAGGCGGCGACCUGGACAGGUACUGACACUCAACUACGAAAGCGUGGGGAGCAAACAGG
rnacentral:rRNA from 1 species